UACUUAUUACACGUGUGUGUCAUCUGGUGACCAGAGUGAAAGAGAAAAUGUACAGUGCUUCUCUUUUGUGGCUAAGUAGUAAGAUAGGAUGCAGGUU
rnacentral:pre_miRNA from 1 species